rnacentral:tmRNA from 1 species
GGGGCUGAUUCUGGAUUCGACGGGAUUUGCGAAACCCAAGGUGCAUGCCGAGGGGCGGUUGGCCUCGUAAAAAGCCGCAAAAAAUAGUCGCAAACGACGAAAACUACGCUUUAGCAGCUUAAUAACCUGCUUAGAGCCCUCUCUCCCUAGCCUCCGCUCUUAGGACGGGGAUCAAGAGAGGUCAAACCCAAAAGAGAUCGCGUGGAAGCCCUGCCUGGGGUUGAAGCGUUAAAACUUAAUCAGGCUAGUUUGUUAGUGGCGUGUCCGUCCGCAGCUGGCAAGCGAAUGUAAAGACUGACUAAGCAUGUAGUACCGAGGAUGUAGGAAUUUCGGACGCGGGUUCAACU